AUACGGAGGGUGCAAGCGUUAUUCGGAAUCACUGGGCGUAAAGGACACGUAGGCGGGAAGCCAAGUCUGAUGUGAAAUCCUACAGCUUAACUGUAGAACUGCAUUGGAAACUGGUUACCUAGAGUAUGGGAGGGGGAGAUGGAAUUAGUGGUGUAGGGGUAAAAUCCGUAGAUAUCACUAGGAAUACCUAAAGCGAAGGCGAUCUCCUGGAACAUUACUGACGCUAAGGUGUGAAAGCGUGGGGAGCAAACGGGAGUAGAAACCCCAGUAGUCC
rnacentral:rRNA from 1 species